ensembl:lncRNA
GUUGGUUGUUGUGGGGAUAUUAAUACGCUACGAGCCAAGGUAGCCUAUUGUGUGUUGUUCCAUUGUGUGAUGUUUAGUGUGAUCGCGACCAUUAGUGAGAGUGCUGUGUGUGUUGGUUAGGUGUCACCAAUGUCCCGUGGAUUGGCUUAAUAACAGUCCGUAGUCGUGCGGUGUAUUGGGACGCGGAACUGCAUAAUUGCUUAUCGUGGUCACCACCCAUCUCGUGCUGCUCGCGCUUCCAUGCUGCUCGCCCCGUAUUCUUUAUAUUAUAGAUUUGUGGGCAGUCCCAGUUGAACCGAAACAGCUCUACCGGAAACCAGCUGACAACCCAACGCUCCAACCUAGAUGCCGCAUCGUACAUGACUUCAAUUAUUUGAGAUGCAAGAUGAAGAGAUAGCAGAACAGUGAGCGUCCAGGCCAAGUGAGGCACAGACAUUUCCAGUCUUCCAGUUGUGUCCACCACACAACGUAGCUGACAUCGAACUCAAACACCUUGGUUGCUGCAACUUCCUGAUGAUUCAAACUGGAAUAAAAAUUGGACAUCUUCGUCCAAUUUUCUUUGAACAUUUAGUUUGGCUAAUAUUCAUUGCCAUUACUAAUAUAUCAGCAGGAUGUCCCUCGGAUGAAUAUCCAAUAAUGCAUCAUGAGUGUUGUCCUAAUUGCCAAACUGGUAAGAGUGAAAUACCUCCAAGGUUGAUUAAUAUUGAUAUUUAUAUAUAUUGAUUUUUGGCAAAACACAUCCGUUCCAAUUCUGUCC